AAACAAUAUCGUUAGUCUUAUUGGGCUUUCGUUUGUAAUAGACUUUUGUAAAUAUAAAUAAGUUUUAUGUUCAUUUUUUAAUUUACUAAUACGGUUCGUGUUAUAACCAUAUCGCAACUGGAGGUGAAAGUUCGGCGAGCAACCGCCGCAGCGUUAACACUCCUCUCUCGUAUACAGAAGUCGACUGAGUUCAGUUCGGUUGGGCAACAGCGCAGCGCGAGGCCAAACCAACUAACUCGGCGUAAACACGCCGGCGCGCCGCGACGUGACGGCUACGAAGCGGGGGACGAAAUCAAGAAUUGUGUGCGAUGCCGCGAUGUGUGCGAUCAGUACAAGUACAGCUGAGAGCGCACACCGCUCGUGUACGACCCGCUCGUCGACUUCACUCUGUUUCUGCCUCGCCGCCAAUAACGACGCGGCGCUAUCGCUUCCAAGAACCGCCAACCUUGGCACUUCCACGAAACUCGAAGCAUUGUCACUAAUUUAUAAAACUUAUGUUCUUCCGUCCAAGGCUAGCACGUUUGCCACCACGCCAUGGUCGCACCUCAUGACACCAUCCACUUUAAACGAAUGAACACGUUCCACGGGGUGACGACCUCUGUGACCGACAACUAUGUUAAAUUCGGUAUUUAAAACAACUAAAUGAUAGAAAAUGAAAAGGAAUGAUGAUGUACUGUAAUCUAUUCCCAUGUACUUACUGGGAAUAUAAGAAUAAGUACGAAGCAACUAAAGGAACAAAGGACAAUAGAAGGCCAGUAAUAAAAGGUGAAAGAGUUUUUUAUAGAUAGUUAUAUAAUUUAUUUGCAUUACUUACAGCACAUAAAUAACAACAGACAUGCACAGUUGAAAGAGAUAAAAGAGUUCAUAUAGAAAAAUUGCAAAAUAUAUAAAACAAGUAUCAAUUUUCUUCUUUCAUGCGUGUGCUUCGUUCAAAAUGAUUAAAACUCAAUUUAAUAGUUUGCCCCCAAAAGAGCAAAACACUGAUAUUCUGUUGCGGCUAAGAGCCAGUUAGCCAGCUAGUUUUUACGGCAAACAAACGAUUGUUUGUAUAUAAAAGUGGAAAGAAAGAAGAAAGUUUUUAUCAGGACCAAAAUAGAAAAGUCUGAAAAAUGAUGAUAUACAAACACUUUUGGGUCUAUUUUAAUGUAACUUUAUUGUCAAAAGUUUUUUAAGUAUAUAUUAUACUUAUUUCAAGAAUAAUAGAAUUGAUUUACGUGUUUAGUAGAAAGAUUACUGAUAAUUUAUAAAUGCAUAGUCAGAUUUUUUUCUACAUUUUAUAUUGCACAAUAUAAACUAACAAUUGCAAUAAAUUUGAUACAAUGUAAGUAGAAUAUACAUAAGGUCGACCAAAAUUUUUCGUUGUCAACUAAGUACCACUCUGACUGAAAGCCUUUCUAAGAAUCCGAGAAUCAAUACACGUAAAUAUUCUCCAUUAACGCAAGCAUUAUCUUAUCUUUAUUUAUUUAUUACAUACUGCAAUCUGCUUGUAUUGCUAUGGGUAAGUAUAAAAGUAAAUAGAUAAAUAUUUAGUAAGUAGUAACUUCACCAUAAGUUUCUGGAAAGCUUGAAGCGGAAACCCAUCCAAAAAAAGAAAUAGAUUGCUUAGAUCGAAUAACCUAAAUUCAAAUUUUAAUUGUACUAUCUACCGAUAAUAAACUUCUUAUCGACAAAAAGAUAAGAUAUUUCAUGUAAAUUUAAACCAGUAAUCAUUGUACAAGUAACUAGAUUAAUCAAACGAUUGCCCUGUGAAUAUUUUUUUCACACUAGCAACCGUGUUCCUUCCCAUAUGUCCAAAAUUGCUUUAUGUACUUGUCAAACAUUCCGAUAUGCCUUGAUACAAUCUUUAAUAAAGAUUACACUUAUUUGGCCGUGUAGGUUUCGGCAUAGAAUAUGCCACCUUACCUUUCCUGUGGGUGUCGUAAGAAGAGACUAAGGGAGCUUAUGGUAGAGGGAUGGGCAGCAGCGCCCUCUUAAAACAUUAUCAAAAGUUAAACUGCGGUUGCCAAACCGCCUGUGGAUGUCUACUGCCUGCCAAGCUACUACUAGCAAAACCCCUCUUAUAGGGGAGGUUAUGUUGCAUAUUUAGACUGGAGUUUACGUGAAUACAAAAACGGUAUGCUGUAUUCGGCGUGCAGUGGAAAAAGACUUUUAAACAAAAUAAUCGUGAUUCAUCCAGUAACAUCUUAAUGCACUGAUGUGUAUCCUACCUGUGAUGACAUAUGUGGAUACUAAUGAUAAGACUAGUUCACCUAUGUUUGGAGUUUUUCCAAGGGAUCGAAUCUGAUACAAAGUAAUUCACCAGAGGACCAAAAUUACCGAAAUAGCUUUAUGAAUUUGCAAGCUGAAGUGGCGGUAGACUGAUAGAACCCAUAACCGUCGGAAUAGACGUGUUCAAGAGUGGAGACCGCGACUCGGCAAUCGUAGUGUUGGACGACUUGCAGCUGGGUGGAGUGAUGAUAUACGUAGGGUUGCUGGUAAUAACUGACAGUGAAGAGCGUGGAGUGGAUGAUAUCUGUGGAUGAUACUGGAGUGGAUGGUGUCUGUACAUAAGAGACAUUUACGAAAAUUUUAUGCAAGGGGUUUUAAUAAAAGCAAUAGAGAGGCCAAACCAAUAUUUUUAGAAUUUCUGACUAUCUGUAUAUUUAUUCUGAAGUCAGUCAAAAACUACUGCAACAAAUUGAAUGCGGUUUUCAGAGAUGUGUUUCUGAAGAUCUAACUCAGAAACUGGUGUAUGAUUUAUCUUUAUACGCUACAGAUUUUAUCUAUUUCCUUGAUUUUCCUACUUUUAAAAUCUACAUAUACGAAGUUUUGGAUUAGGUAGAAUGAUAACUCCACUUAAACAAUCUGUUAAUGCUUACGAAAUACCGGUAAGGAUAAAACUAAGUCGGUUUGGCCCAUUACCAUGAAUUUACCAAAAAUCAAUCACGUUGUAUUCCAGAGGGAACCGCAUGUAAGUCAACAAAGUUUUGCCAGCAAUAAAUCUAAAAGAUGCUAUUACUAACAAUCCACUUACCCCACUUACCUCAAGUUUGACAUACCUACAUCAACAUUGUUCUUUAAUUUACAUAUUCGUAGUUUUAUCCAGCAUUUUUUUAUCAAACGAAAUAGAUAAUCUUUACUGUUUCCUCCAAAAGAUUAACCUCCAAGGGUCACGACCCCCCGAUCGAGAAACGAUGGUAUAGUGUAUCGUUAGCAACGGAUCGAAUGCAAUUGUACAUUCUAUCAACUAAGAUAGUAUAGACGGUUGGUAACCAUAAAACGUUUAGGUCUUAGUUGCUUCAUUAACAUUCAGGAAUGCUUCGCCAGCCCAUUUCGGAUGCCAUAGGCAAAUAGUAGGCACCCAGUACAUACAAUGUGUGUGCAACAGGUGUUACCAGUUGUAAUAAGUAAAAUUUCAUGCGAAAAUGAACGUUGUUUUGUUAUGUUUUCUUUAUAAAUAUUCAUUGAAUAUUGUAGUGCGAAAGUGAAAAUGGUGUAUUUAUUAUGAUUAUAAAUAUUACGUUAUUAUUUUUUGUUUCUUUAAUCUGUGUUACUAUUUAUUUAUAAGCAUAUUAGAUUCUCUGAUAAAUAUCAGUUAUUGUUAGUUUUUAUACGAGUGCAUUAGAUGGAAUUCAUUACAAAACAGAAUGUUUUAUAGCUUCUGCAUUUAAUUACACCGGCUUCAUUAUAUUGUGGUCCGAAUACCGGAAAUCAUUGUCAAUUUCAUCAUCAUGUCAUUUAGUAAUCUAAUGUUUAAAAAAAUUUAAACUGGACGAUAUCUGUACAUAGGAGAUAUUAAAAAAAAAACGAUAGAUAGAUAUAAGGAGUCUUAAUAAGAACAACAAAAAACAAAAUAAUAUUAGAUUUUUGUCGGAUCGUCUGCCUGUUUGUAUAUUUAUUUAGGCAUCACGCAGAAACUACAUCAAAUCGAAUGUGCUUUUUAUAAUUGUGUUCCUAAAGAUUUAACUUAAAAUGUGGUAUAUGCCUUAUCUUGAUACGCAAUAUGUGAAAAUGUGUAAAAGUGAUUAUGUAAGUACUUCAGUACCUAAUCCAUACGUACGAAGUUGCAAGCAAAAUCAAAUAAAGAAUAUAUGUAUAAAUAUAUUCUUUAUUUGAUUCUGUGUAUUUGAAUAUGUGUAUAUUGUACAUGCGUACGUAACAAAAUUACUUCAAUGAUAUAAAUAGAUUACUUACGCUCUAGCAAUCUACCUAUUUAUAUUCUCGUGCCCUUUCUGAGCGUCGUAUGAAUGAAUACCUAAUUACAUUUUUAUGGGCGCGAAAAAAUGUAACGUUAUUUGACUUCGCAAGCAUUCUUGUUUUGGUACGAGAUAAAAAUAAAUUGGAAGUGUCUUUUUCUUUAGCAAUUCGAAAAGGUCAGCGGUUAUUUACCUACGUACUGUCUCGAUUCUCAUCACAUCAUACUUCGAUAUAGAUACAAGUAAUUAUUCUCCGCAAAAAAAUGGUUUUAGUCGUGAACAUAUACCUUGAUAAACUAUGAGAUGUGUCAUAGAUAUCUUACAUUGAAAAUAUUUAAAUUUAGAACGUGGCAUCCUGUUUAUUCACUUAUGUAAUAUAGAAACCAUUCGGAACGAAGCCACAAUUUUAAUGGUAUAUUUAUAUUAUUAACAUUUUAAUUUGCUAUCAAAGGACUUUUUAAAUAAUGAAAAAUACUAAAAACUUCGUAUGCUUGGAUUAAAGAAGUAGUAAACCAUUUCUAGGUGGCGUAUUAAGAUAUUUUUUUUUAUACAACUUAGAAUGGCAAACAAGCUGGCGGCCCACCUGAUGGAAAGUGGUAACCGUCGUAAUUAUACACCAAAUUUUAAAUUAUACCUACAGAAAGGCAACUUUGCAUCCAAUUUGUGCAGUAGUUUACAUGUGAUACUGGAACAAAUAUGCAGAUAAUAUACUGUAUUGGAUUCUAUUACUCUUACGAAGACCCCUCAUAGCAAUUUUCCUUUAUUAUAUUAUUAUUAUACAUAUUAGCACAGAUACUAGUAUUUUUUUUAAAAUUAACUGAUAAUUCCAAUGUUGUCACGAUUCGGCAAACAUUACUAUCAAUGCUCAAAAAAUUACUUGAAAAAGAUAGAUAUACCGAGUCGAAACUAAAUCAAUAAACGUAAUUUAAACGAACGCAUAUCCACAAAAGAUAUUACCCAGUAAAAUUCGUUCACUCAUGCCUUUCCGUCGAACAAAUAACAAUGGACUAUUUCUCACCCGCAUAGGAACGAAUCGAUAUGAAUCGAGAUAAUCGAGUGUUCCCCGAAGCGGCGACGCGUGUGACAUGCGCCAUACCACGCUUCCCCGAAACAUUUCUUCAUUACGGAUCCAGAAAGAAACUAAUGGAUUACGUGGAAGAUGACAUGGCCAGAAGGAAUGUCAGUAUUGAGACUAGUGCAAAUGGAAAAAAAAAAACAUAUUACUAUCCCAAAUUGGUAUUGGAAAAGGGCAAGACAAUGGGGUUGGAAAAUUGUUAUCUGUUGAGAAGAGUCCGCAAGAAACUCAACAGUCAUAUUACGCCGACCCAAAUAAUUGGGACAAGGGCAGAAAAAUGAUGACGAAUGAUGUCACAAUUUACAAGACGGUACAAUUAUAAUCAUAUAUAAUGUUUUACAAAAGAGGAAGAGGAAGACCGAGGAAUAACUACAUGGGACAGAUAGAGGAAACACUAGGUGUCAUGUCAUGAUAGAGCUGGCUGGAAGAAGAUGCAUGAAUUAGUUGCACCGACAAGAGGAAACUCUUAAAUGAAAAGAAGAGAAUGUUUUACAACAAUUAAUUUAAGCUACCUAAUCAACAAACCUACAAGAAAUAAUAUAAUACUGUGAUAAUACAAGAAAAUAUUAUGUUUUUUACAUUGAAUGGCAAACCAUCAUAAUAUAUUUGUUCUUAAUUUUUUUUAAGCACACUUACAAAAGAAGGAAAUUCUAAACUUGUUUUUUUUGCAACUAUAUUAAGCGAUAAUGUUGCCAUUUUUGAGCCAAUAUAUAUACAAUUUUCUUUACAAUCAA